rnacentral:rRNA from 1 species
GAUGAACGCUGGCGGCGUGCCUAAUACAUGCAAGUCGAGCGAAGCGGGGACGGGUUAGUAACACGUGGAUAACCUCCUAUAAGACUUGGAUAACCUCGUUAAACCGGUGCUAAACCCUAAACUUAUAGAUUGAUCCGCUCUGCAUUAGCUAGUUGGUAAGGUACCGGCUUACCAAGGCAACGAUGCAUCACCGACCUGAGAGGGUGAUCGGCCACACUGGAACUGAGACACGGUCCAGACUCCUACGGGAGGCAGCAGUAGGGAAUCUUCCGCAAUGGGCGAAAGCCUGACGGAGCAACGCCGCGUGAAUGAUGAAGGUCUUCGGAUCGUAAAACUCUGUUAUUAGGGAAGCGGUACCUAAUCAGAAAGCCACGGCUAACUACGUGCCAGCCGCCGCGGUAAUAC